rnacentral:rRNA from 1 species
GUCUAUGGCCAUGCCACCCUGAACACGCCCGAUCUCCUCUGAUCUCAGAAGCAAAGGAGGGUCGGGCCUGGUUAGUACUUGGAUGUGAGACCACCUAGGAAUACCAGGUGCUGUAGGCU